CAAAGACUUGGUCCUGACUUUACUGUCAGCUCUAGCUAGACUUACACAUGCAAGUAUCCGCACCCCUGUGAGAAUGCCCUCCCAAUCUCCCGCCCGGAGACAAGGAGCCGGGUAUCAGGCACGGUUAACACCAGCCCAUGACACCUUGCUUAGCCACACCCCCAAGGGACACCAGCAGUGAUAAAUAUUAAGCUAUAAGUGAAAACUUGACUUAGUUAAAGCUUAGAGGGCCGGUAAAACUCGUGCCAGCCACCGCGGUUAUACGAGAGGCCCAAGUUGACAGACUACGGCGUAAAGAGUGGUUAGGGAAACUUUUAAACUAAAGCCGAACGUCCUCAAAGCUGUUUAACGCUUCCGAGUUAAGAAGACCCACUACGAAAGUAGCUUUACCCAACCUGACCCCACGAAAGCUGUGAAACAAACUGGGAUUAGAUACCCCACUAUGCUCAGCCCUAAAAUUUGAUAGGCCAACUACGCCCCCUAUCCGCCCGGGUACUACGAGCAUCAGCUUAAAACCCAAAGGACUUGGCGGUGUUCACAUCCUUUUUUUGGGCUCAGCCCUAAAAUUUGAUAGGCCAACUACGCCCCCUAUCCGCCCGGGUACUACGAGCAUCAGCUUAAAACCCAAAGGACUUGGCGGUGCUUCACAUCCGUCUAGAGGAGCCUGUUCUAGAACCGAUAACCCCCGUUAAACCUCACCCUCCCUUGUUAAUACCGCCUAUAUACCGCCGUCGUCAGCCUACCCUGUGAAGGACUAGAAGUGAGCAAGAUUGGUAAGACCCAAAACGUCAGGUCGAGGUGUAGUGUAUGAGAGGGGAAGAAAUGGGCUACAUUUCCUAAAUCAGGGAAAACGAAUAAUGAACUGAAAUAAGCAUUAGAAGGUGGAUUUAGCAGUAAGCAGUAAAACAGAGUGUUCUGCUGAAAUUUGGCAAUAAAGCACGCACAUAUCGCCCGUCACUCUCCCCGAGCUAAUACAAAAGCAAAUACCUAAAAAACUACAUCUGCAAAGGGGAGGCAAGUCGUAACAUGGUAAGCGUACCGGAAGGUGCGCUUGGAACAAU
rnacentral:ncRNA from 1 species